CUCCGAUGGUAUGUGUGCACAAGCUGGCAGAUCAUCACCUGCCACACCUCCAAGCAAACUGUAGGAACUUCGCCUGUGCUUAAGCACACGCGCAGUCGCGUCGCGCACGCCCACGCACACAGCAGAGAAAACGUGCAUACGUUACAGCAUUAACAGUGGCAAAAAUGUCUCAUCAAGGCGCUCCACAGGGCGAGUACGUCGCCAUUCUCGAUGCGGGCUCACAGUACGGCAAGGUCAUUGACCGAAAGGUGCGUGAGCUCCAUGUGGAGACGAGCAUCUUGCCUCUCGAUACCCCAGCUGAGAAGCUGCGUAUCGAUGCUAACCUGAAGGGCAUCAUCAUUAGCGGUGGCCCCAGUUCGGUGAACGACGUCACGUCGCUGGCAUAUGACCGGGCGAUCUUUUCCAUGGGCAAGCCGGUGCUCGGCAUCUGCUACGGUAUGCAGAUGCUGACGGAGUUGUAUGGCGGCGAGGUUUGUCGCGGCAAGGUGCGCGAGGACGGUCAGGACAGCAUUCAGGUGGACACGUCGUCGCCAAUCUUUGCCGGGCUGGAGUCGACCGAGGUGGUGCUUCUCACUCACGGCGACUCCAUCACAGCCGUUGGUGCCGAGCUGAAGGUGAUUGCACGCAGCUCCGCUGACAUCAUCGCCGCGGUUCAGCACCGGUCCCGGCCGCUGUUUGGCGUUCAGUUCCAUCCCGAGGUGGAACUCACGGUAUCGGGCAAGACGAUCUUCAAGAACUUCCUGCAGCUGUGCAGGUGUGACUUCUCCUUUACAAUGGAGGACCGAGAGGCGGUGGCGCUGCGGCUUAUUCGCGAGCGCACCAGUGAUGGCCAGAAGGUGCUCUGCCUGGCCUCUGGUGGUGUCGACAGCACUGUCUGUGCCGUGCUGCUCCUAAAGGCCCUGGGCCCUGAGCGAGUUGUGUGCAUCCACAUCGACCACGGCUUCAUGCGGCUGAACGAGAGCGUGCAAGUGGUGGAGGCGCUGAAUGCCGCGGGGGUGUGCGUGCAUCUCGUCCAGGCGCAAGAAGACUUUGCACAGGCCUCGACAGAGAUGACGGCGAAGGGGAGUCGCGCGGCGUACACAACCAACAAGCUACGUGAAGUCACAGACCCGGAGGAGAAGCGCAACAUCAUUGGUAACACGUUCAUGACCGUGUGCGACCGAGUCAUCAAGGAGCUACAGCUGGACGUAGAAAACCUGCUGCUCGCACAGGGCACCCUUCGCCCAGAUCUCAUCGAGUCUGGCUCCAAGUACGCCAGCGUCAACGCAGAUUCCAUCAAGACGCACCACAACGACACCGCGGUCGUGCGGCUGCUGCGCGACGCCGGCCGCAUCAUCGAGCCUCUCUGUGACUAUCACAAGGAUGAGGUACGCGAGCUUGGGGCACGCCUAGGCAUUCCACGCCACCUCGUAGAGCGUCAGCCCUUCCCGGGGCCUGGACUUGCCAUCCGCACUCUGUGCACCGACGGCACCCCGUUUCGCGACGGCAACUUUGAGGACACGCAAGCCACCGUGAAGCGUGUGUGCGUGGGAGCCGACGCAUCCUUCGCCGAGGUCGCCACCCUCGCGCAGAAAGCCACACUGUCCGCCUGCAUCCUGCCGGUGCGCACCGUUGGGGUGCAGGGUGACGGGCGCACCUACGCCUACGCGGCCGCCCUCUCCAUGCAGACGUUUCCGACGGCCGAGCAGUGGUCCACGCUGAUGCAGCUGGCAAAGGAGAUUCCCAAGACGGCGCACGCUGUCAACCGCGUGGUUUUCAUGUUCGGUCCUCCGCAGUCUGAAUCGCCGAGCACCGUCACGCCGACAUAUCUGACGGCCGACGUGCUCGAGAAACUUCGCGUUGCCGAUGACAAGGUGAACAGCAUUCUCAUGAAGCACCAACUCGUGCGCUCACUGAGCCAAGUGCCCAUCAUUCUCGUUCCCGUCGGCUUCGACAAGGCCGGCGGCUACAGCGUGGUGGUGCGCACAUUUCUGACGAACGACUUCAUGACGGGUAUCCCCGCCACUCCGGGCUCGGCCUUUAUGCCGCUGGCGGUGCUGGAGGAAAUAGUCAGCGAGGUACAGAAGCUCGAGUUUGUCGGCCGGUUUAUGUAUGAUCUCACCGCCAAGCCUCCCGGCACCACUGAAUGGGAGUAGUAGGGUGAAAUAAAAAAGGUGGUGGGAAGUAUCAUGUUUUUUUGGAGAGAGGAAGAGGGAGAGUGUGUCAGUGUCUUCACAUGCUGUUGUGCCGACUGCGAAUAUUUUGACCUUCUUAUUGCUCUCCUUCACAGAGAGCGAGGGGAGGUCGGCGCGUUAUAAACAAACGUAACAAAUAACGCACAGGUGUGUGAUCAAGUGAGGGGGCACGGAAGAGAGCUGCGCUGACGCCGUCUCCUCUCUCUCUCGUAUCCGCCCCGCCCUGUCAUUGGUUGACUAAUCCCUUUGAGUGCAUGUGUGAUGUGUCUGCAUCCCUAUCCCUUUUCUUGCUCAUCGCAACCAAAUGCAAGGGCUAACCGCUACAGCGGUGACGGCCGAAGCGUUGUUUCUGGCCUACAGGCCGUGAUGGUGCUCGUGUGUGUGCGUGGGUAGGUGGGUGUGGCGUGCCUCUCUCUGCAGCACUAGUGGUCCGCAUGCCACAAUGAACUCUCUUGUAAUGGUGAAGAGGAGAAGGUAUUUGCCACAGACGAAUUUCGCCGGAGUGCGGCUGCCAGCAUCGCCGUCGCAUUAGCUGCAUGGGACGAGACG
rnacentral:misc_RNA from 1 species